rnacentral:snRNA from 14 species
AUCUUAGUGCAUGGGUUUUACGCAUAUCAGUGAGGAUUCGUCCGAGAUGUAAGUUCUCCCCUUCCUCCCCUUCUCUCAAUCACCUUGCUAACGAGGAUACAGUGCGUUUUUGCUAGUUGUAUGUUCCCCCUCUUUCCCGAAGAUUCGGUUCAUGAUCUUUAAACAAAAAUAAGUGCUAAUUAUCUGCCAGGAAAACUAUAACCAUGACCGCUCCUAUUCGACUUCGGUUGGAUAGGGAAUCUUUGGAACUCAAAUUCUCGUGUUGA